CAAAAGUUUCGGCCCUCCCCUUCACUCUUCACUUGGGAUUCAGAUUUCAGAAGCUGCAUCUCGCCGGCGACGUCAUCAGCCUCGAGCUGGCGGCCAGCGAGCACGGGCGGACGCUCGGCUCUCUCUACCUGGCGCCGAGCUCAAGGUCGCAACGUCCUCGUCCCGGUCCACGAUGGCCUACUCCUUGCGUCUUACAGUGACCUGAGAGAGAGAGCACAAAGACUGGCUCUACUGAAUUGAAGAUUUCAGUAUUCUAUUGUCCUGUGCCCCAUGUUCAUCUUCCUUGUCACUAGAUUCAUUUCUUGAGCCACCCAUUCCCAAUGGGUCUCCUCAGCAUCAUCAGAAAGAUAAAGCGCAAGGAAAAGGAGAUGCGGGUUCUCAUGGUGGGCGUAGACAGCUCGGGUAAGACAACAAUCAUGCUGAAGAUCAAAGGGGAGGACACCAGUGUCAUCAGUCCAACCCUUGGCUUCAAUAUCAAGACCAUCAAGUAUCAAAAGUAAUUCAUUUCUUUUUCUGUUAAUUAGCAGGCAAAGUGGCAGAACAAGAAUUCUUUCUUAGAUCAUUUUAAUGCUUCAGUAGACAAGAAAAUUGGCAUUAUCUACUAACCACUAACCACGAGUGUUCUGAAGGAUUUCAUAAAAUAAGAAUCUCCGCAAAUGCAAUGUUAAAACAACCAUAGUAUAUCCAAUUUGAGUUUGUGUGACGUAGUUGCUAAACCAUUUUUUAGGAUCACCUAAAUUAAAUCAUUUUCCUGAACUCUUGCAAGUAUCUCCUAUAUUUUGCAUUUUUUUUUUAUCUCCAGGGAAUGCUAGUCUUACUAUUUCCGGAAGAUAAUUUUUCAUGACAGUUUUGCAAUGCAACCUUCUGAAUUGUUAAUUUAGUGAUGUGGCAGCCUAAUUUCAACAGACGCGGGUAGAAAAAUCUACACUCCUGCAAGUGUUAGAUCUAGCACUAGCAGGCUUGCAGCUGAGAGUUUCGAAGCCUUACCCUAUGCUGAUGUGUAGCGCCGGCUCAUAGUGGUUUAUAGAAACUAAGUGAAUUGUGGUUUGGAGCAGCCACCACAAGGAACAACUGAAAGCCACGAUAAGGUGAAUUGUGGUUUGAAGCAGCUUUUCUGUUCAGUGAUCCCAAGUCCUGAUAGCCAUAUUGUCGGCACAAAGAAGUCUUCUGGUUGCCACCACUUGCAUAAACCUUUCCAUGGAAGAAUAUGUUCUUUCAGUUGUUGUUUGUGCUGCAGUCCUUUAGGUGUAACAUCCAUCCUGCAAGAUAGCACAACCACCCGGAGAGUUUCAGAUAACAUCUCAGGCAAUUGGAAAAACUCCGUGAAACACAAGUGCUGGCCAAGGUCCCAACUAGACUGUCACACAUAAGUACCGAGACAACCGUAGAUAACUGGGGCAUAGUUGCCAUUUAGGAACAAUC